ACGCGAGGGACACGUGAAGGUGGCAGCGAUUGCGUGCCCCGAUGAUGCAUCGGACCCAUCGGCCAAGGGCACUGCAGUCGCACAGCGUGUCCGUAUGACUUUUCUCUCCCCUGUGCAAAGCACGUGCGCGGUAAACUGAUGACCAUGCUGCUUGCGUUUGGCACCUCCCACGGCACACGAGGUCAUCUCAAGGACAGGCCGUCUGAGAGUCUGAACGCGAGAGAAACCGGUACCAUAUUCAAGCCGUACGUGGUGCUGCCUUGAGACCUGCAUGAGGAGAAGUUCAUUCACAAACCACGCUUCUCGCCAGCACGAGCUCGACUUUCUUGUGCAGGACAACUUCAUUGCAACGCGCAGGGACACGUUGACUUCGUCCACGACAUCCCGUGAGCGCUCCAGCACCUGCACGAACCAGAAGGGAGCCUGCGACGUUCUUGGAUGUGGUGUAAAAGCAGUCUGGAGUGACCUUGAAAAUUCGGGCAUCUGCUGAAUUCUUCGACACGAAAUAGUAAAACUCAUGGGGUGUGCAGAAUUAAUUCUACAGCCCUGCUUUAGAAAAUAACCUCUUCAUUCUACAACUGAUACCGAUCAUUAAAUUAUGAAAAAAACAGACUCGUCGA